rnacentral:rRNA from 1 species
UUGCAUAUCCNUUAAGCGGAGGAAAGGAAACCAACAGGGAUUGCCUUAGUAGCGGCGAGUGAAGCGGCAAUAGCUCAAAUUUGAAAUCUGCCAACAGGCCGAGUUGUAAUUCGANGANAGCAAUUCNGGAUGUGUCUUNGCUCAAGUUCCUUGGAANAGGACAUCAUGGAGGGUGAGNAUCCCGUGAUGCGAAGGUAGCACGUCUAUGUAGAAUGUUUUCGACGAGUCGAGUUGUUUGGGAAUGCAGCUCAAAGUGGGUGGUAAAUUCCAUCUAAAGCUAAAUAUCGGCGAGAGACCGAUAGCGAACAAGUACUGUGAAGGAAAGAUGAAAAGAACUUUGAAAAGAGAGUGAAAAAGUACGUGAAAUUGUUGAAAUGGAAGGGCUUGAGAUUAGACAUGGUGUUUAGUGUUCCNCUUUCUUUUGGGAAUGUGUACUCGCUUUACACCGGGCCAGCAUCAGUUUUGAUGGGAGGAUAAACGGUAUUGAAUGUGGCUGCUUGCAGUGUUAUAGCUUUAUCAAAUACUUCCAAUCGGGAUCUGAGGACCGCGCAUUUGCUAGGAUGCUGGCGUAAUGAUCUUAAGCCACCCGUCUUGAACCNCGGACCA